AAAAUAGAUACCCGGGUAGUCCACGCCGUAAACGAUGAGUGCUAAGUGUUGGGGGGUUUCCGCCCCUCAGUGCUGCAGCUAACGCAUUAAGCACUCCGCCUGGGGAGUACGGUCGCAAGACUGAAACUCAAAGGAAUUGACGGGGGCCCGCACAAGCGGUGGAGCAUGUGGUUUAAUUCGAAGCAACGCGAAGAACCUUACCAGGUCUUGACAUCCCGGUGACCACUAUGGAGACAUAGUUUCCCCUUCGGGGGCAACGGUGACAGGUGGUGCAUGGUUGUCGUCAGCUCGUGUCGUGAGAUGUUGGGUUAAGUCCCGCAACGAGCGCAACCCUUAUUCUUAGUUGCCAUCAUUCAGUUGGGCACUCUAAGGAGACUGCCGGUGAUAAACCGGAGGAAGGUGGGGAUGACGUCAAAUCAUCAUGCCCCUUAUGACCUGGGCUACACACGUGCUACAAUGGACGGUACAAACGGUUGCCAACCCGCGAGGGGAGCUAAUCCGAAUAAACCGUUCUCAGUUCGAUUGUAGGCUGCAACUCGCCUACA
rnacentral:rRNA from 1 species